AGGGCAUGUUUCAUAACGACAUUGCGAAAACUAACGCCCUUUAGGCGUGCGGUGCGGAUGUACUGUGCUGUCAUAACUUCAGCCAUUGAUGCACGUGUCAUGCGAGCGAUAUACCCCAUCCCGUAAAGGGAAAUUGUCAAUACGGGCAAAAAGAAAUUCCUGAAAGUCGCG
rnacentral:ncRNA from 1 species